AAACAAAUUUGGUUCUGGUUCCAGAUCCACCAUCAGCUCCCAAUGUAAGACUAGUUGGUGUGGACACAGAUUCCUUGACCUUAGACUGGAGAACCCCACAGGAAGAAGGUCCUGUUCUACAAUACGUACUGGAGUUUAAAAAAGAUGGAAUGACGAAACACCAGCGCCACCUACCGGGAUCUAGCAGUAGCUACAAAGUAACCCACCUGCAGGCAGGAUCUCGGUAUGAACUUAGACUGGCAGCUU